AUUUUCAUAUUGCUCUUAGAGCCAUUUGUCUUUCAGAUCCUUCAGUGGGAAGGAUAGAAGAAUUGCUUCAAUGCUUCACUAACCUUUCUUCCAAUUUACUUCUCCCUGACAUUGCCAGUUACCCCGGAGCAGAUCCUGUCCUGCCUGUUGUGUGGUGUGGUUAGGAGCAGUUGCAGAGACAGAGCAGGCAGUUCUGUGGGAACUCGGGGGGCGCCUAGCAAGGGAAAGAGGAAUGAUGCCAAGGGGAGAAUGGCUGGGAGACAGAUACAGCCCUCUGAGAGCUCUAGAUGAAGAGCCCCAAAGAGGUCUAGGGCUGGGUAAAGCCUAAAAGCCACAGUCACGUCCCUGGUAAAGUAACAGGAAAGAGUCCCAAAGAGAAUAUGUUAAUAGAUUAUUGUGGUUGUAAGUCCAUGGGUUUUACCAGCAUAUGUUUUUAUUCAACGGUGGAAAGGAUGUGUAUUUCUUGGGUUGGCAUGAUAGAAUACUGCCCUUCACCAAAAAAUAAAACAUAAAGAGCUGGCUUUAGCUGACUGUGGGCUUUGGUGCUAUUUCCCUCUAUAGAUGGCUGUGCUUGGAAAGUUAAGUGAAGGCAGAUUUGGGGGGUGGAAGAAGCGGGUGAGACACACUGGAAGGUGGUGGGGCAGUCGGGGUGGGCAGAGGUGUUGCAAUGUUGGUAAAGAAGGACUUAGCAUCUCCUGCAACACCAAACCUCUUUGCUCCAGACUAUAGAAAAGUUCAGUCCCCUUGUCUAAACACAGGCUAAGAGCAGGGACAGCUUGCUUUAUUAGGCAGAGAAUACAAAAAUGUAAAUGUCAACCAAAGUUUACAGUGUUGCCAUCCGUGUACGUCCUCUGCUGUAAUUCUUCUCAAAUCCUGGGAAAUCUCUGAAAUUCUCUCGUGAGAAAGGGAAGAAUCCUUCCUAUUCCAAGAGCUUGGAGCUGCUGGAAGUGAUUAGUCCUGGUAGCCUUCAGUUUCCCUCUGCUCUUUGCUGGUUUACUUCCAGAUUGCAGAUAAAGUGUGGCUCCCUUUAAAUGCUUCUUUUAUGAUGUUGACGAUGUGCAGUCACUUGAUGUUCUGACUUUAAGCCACAUCAAACAUUUCACACUUAGCCACCUAUAUUUCUCCUGAAGCAGCUUUGUCCUUGAUUUGUCACACCUGCAUCUGUUUUGACUAGCUCACACAAUCCGAACACUUUUACCUCUAAAACAAUUCCUCUGCCUAUGCCAAUCCUUCCUGCAGUCAUUGCCUGCAAUAUAUAUAUAUUUCAUAAAUGCACAGAUUCUAAAUUUUUAAGUGCAUAGAUUCAAAAAUGCAGAGAUUCCAAUUUUUUAAAAAACUAAGCAAAAAGGGGGGAAAAUGACAUUCUCUAAGCUAGCCUUCUUUUAUUUUUUAGUGAAAACUCUUUUCCAUCAUAAUAAACUUAGUUUCAGGAGAGUGUUAAUAUUUAAGAUUUAAAUGUUGGAAUAGAAAUCAGGACCAAAUUUAAAUUCCAGACCUAGGAGUUGAUCUCAGAUAUUUUGGUAGAAGAUUUUAGAGAAGGUGGUGCUGCUGUUCAUUUUUGUUUUAGUAUUUGAUGUCAAAACACUAAAUUGCCAUCAAACCUUAUAGAUUGGGAAGAAAAUGACUUGGCAGAAAAUGACUGCCCAUAAUGCCCAAGUAUCAGCUAAGAUGUUUGUUUAGUCUGAAAGAUUGCCAAACCCAUCUGUGUUGAGGAAAGAACUUUGAGGUUGUCCCAAAGAAAACUAAAACAACACAAAGCAAAACAAAAAGGCUCUUCCAGAAGUUGGAAAUUCAAUGUAUUACAUGCCCAGAAUAUGAAGGGUAAAGCUGAAGGCUUUUGGAAAGUUCCAGUGACAGUGCUUACAGAAUUCUGUGCCUUUGGAAAAAGUGAUGGCCAACAAAGCAGCAUUAGGACGCUGUUCAAUCACAGUGAGCUGCCUUCUCCCCAAAUAAAUUGUACCUUGGAAAAUUGAGGUGGAUAAAAAUAUUUUAGUAUUUGAGAAUGUACUGUUCCUUCACCUCCCACCACAUGUAAAUCAAAGAUGCUCUGCAACGUCUUAUGACACAGCUUGAUAAUCAUUAAUCUCAAGACUAUUCUCCAACCUUUUGGAUUCUGUACACCAUUAGUAAAAUACUUAGUACACUGGCAAUCUAUUAUAAAUACAUAAAAAUAAAUUUGAUCAUGUAAGUAUUAUUAAUAUUUAUGAUUAAUAAAUAGAACAUACUUCUGUCAAUCUGAUAUGUAUGCUACGACAUAAUAGUAAAGUGGAUUUGUAAAUGAGCAUGAAUAUAAAUAGAAAUUCUAGUAUUUUCUUCACUCACUCUAGUGAAUCAUCUUUGUAUUACACUCUGGAAAUUCUUACAAAAGGCCAGUGGGUCAUAUCACUUUGAGAACUGGAUAAAGAUAAGGGACAUAGACCACCAUGCUUCUAAACAUGUGCACACGCCUCUACACGCCAGGACAGAUGUGCAUUUCCAGAGGUUUGGGGUUCUCUGAAACCAACUCCUAGGCCACCCCAGUGAUGUCGCAGUGACCCUCACAUUAAGAAUUUAUUCCCUAGAAGGGAAAAAAACAGCAAAUCAUAUUUGAAAUGAGAAGAGAAUGGAUAACUAGAAGAUGUCUGUGAAUUUUGGUUUACAUGUGACCAUUUUUGAUUUCUGAGGAGUAAAAGGAAUUUGUUCUUUUGGUCUUGUUCUGUAGAAUGUUACAUGGGGUUUCACAUGUGGGCAACUAAAAUUUUCUUUUCAAUGAAUAUUUAACAUAUCUCUCAAUAUAGUUCCUCAAGCUUUUGGUAAAUGUGCAUUGUUCUAGGUAUCACAAUUUUUUUUCUGGUUUAAAUACUUUUCAUUUUUCCUCCAUGUAAAAUAGAAUAGUUGUUGAACUUUGCAUUGAAAAUCUUCUUGAUGUUAACAACACUUCUUUUAUUAUUACUUUCCCUGUUGCUUUAAAUAACACAUUUAUUUUGAAUUCUGCUUCUGGUCGAGUUGCAAAAUCUAUCAGAAAGUUAUCCUGGGUCUCAGCAGUUUGUUAGAUAUUGCUGCCACAUAAAUAUUGUAAUGGAAGUUAAAUAAAAAUCUUCUUAACAUUUAAAAUGAGUUCUGUUUAAAAGAAAGUGAACAGUUGAAACAAGUAAAAAUACUAU
rnacentral:lncRNA from 1 species